UGUGGUCCAUCACCGAUGUAAAAUGCACUGUGCAGAAGCUCGCUCUCCCAGUAGGGGGCAUGUACUAACGAGCUCCGUCUCCCUCCAAUGUUYGGGAUUUGCCCCGGGGCGCUCUAACCACUGARCGCACUGCUGAGGCUCCAGCAUCCAAGGAUUACCSUCUACUGCUGCCUUYUUUUACUGUAUGAUGUAUCGGCUGAAUGGGUUACCAACGAUGGACGUAGAAUGGUUAGUAGAGAAUAUUAAAGUUGUACAGAUGUAUUAGGCUAUGGAAUAUGUAAGGGCUUUGAUCGUGCGCAGCAAUAAUGCUAAGCGCGGAGAUUGUUGAUUAACCUGAACCUGCAAACAUCCCAAAGAUCCACUCACUGCACAACAGUAGACUAGAGAAUAACUGAUAGAUGACAUCAUGACGGUCACCUACACCGCGCAAGUUGCCAAUGCGCGCUUCUGCGGGUUCUCCAAACUGCUCCUAGCCUGGAGGGGAAGCAUCUACAAGGUCUUAUGGAAGGAGUUCCUUGCUUUCUUUGCAUGUACACUGGCAUCAGUGUCACUUACAGAUUCUUCCUCUUUGAUGACCAGAGAGGGUAUUUUGAAAAACUGGCAAUUUACUGCAACCACUAUGCCAGUCUCAUCCCCAUGUCUU